rnacentral:rRNA from 1 species
GACGAACGCUGUCGGCGUGCUUAACACAUGCAAGUCGAACGGAAAGGCCCUGCUUUUGUUGGGUGCUCGAGUGUCGAACGGGUGAGUAACACGUUAGUAACCUGCCCUUGACUUUGGGAUAACUUCAGGAAACUGGGGCUAAUACCUGAUAGGAGCUCCUGCUGCAUGGUGGGGGUUGGAAAGUUUCGGCGGUUGGGGAUGGACUCGCGGCUUAUCAGCUUGUUGGUGGGGUAGUGGCUUACCAAGGCUUUGACGGGUAGCCGGCCUGAGAGGGUGACCGGCCACAUUGGGACUGAGAUACGGCCCAGACUCCUACGGGAGGCAGGAGUGGGGAAUAUUGCACAAUGGGCGGAAGCCUGAUGCAGCAACGCCGCGUGCGGGAUGACGGCCUUCGGGUUGUAAACCGCUUUCGCCUGUGACGAAGCGUGAGUGACGGUAAUGGGUAAAGAAGCACCGGCUAACUACGUG